UGCCAGCAGCCGCGGUAAUAUGGAAGGUGCAAGCGUUGUUCGGAUUGACUGGGCAUAAAGAGCACGUAGGCGGGCUUGUAAGUCGGAUGUGAAAUCCCCGGGCUUAACCUGGGAACUGCAUCCGAAACUGUGAGUCUUGAAUAUCUGAGAGGUUGGCGGAAUUCCAGGUGUAGGAGUGAAAUCCGUAGAUAUCUGGAGGAAUACCAGAGGCGAAGGCGGCCAACUGGCAGUAUAUUGACGCUAAGGUGCGAAAGCGUGGGGAGCAAACAGGAUUAGAUA
rnacentral:rRNA from 1 species